GCAUAUGGACAUUUUUCAAAAUAUAUAUAGUUUUUUUGUCAUACUAAAACCUUUAAUGAUGAUAUUCACACUCAGAUCAUACCUAUAGUGUCUCUACCUGCAUACCUACAUUAAGCACUAUAGUUUGGUGACUAGUGGCUCUUUCUGAUGGUUUUUUUUUUUUAAUUACAAUAAUUCAUAUUAAAUACAGGUUUUAAAAUGCUCCAUUUUUACAGAUGCUGCAAUUCACCUCCUGCUGAAUGAAUUUCAUAUACUCGAAAGAUUACGCAGUCCUUUGAGCUUGCGGAAAGCAUUCUGUUGAUAUCCACGACGCCAUUGAGUUUUUUAAUGUCAUUUUAUUGAUAUCUAUGAACUGCAAUAUCCUUGCUUUGGAUCUACAAAAAACUUUUGGGAUGUACAAUUCUAAGUGGACUUUCUUUUGUUGGCUGGAGCUUUUUAUUGGUCUACUGGUUUGGAAUACUGUUUCUUUAGGUUUAAAACAUACUUACUUUAUACCUUAGUUCUGUUUGUGUGUCUAAUUAAUAUUUGUAAUAUAAAAAAAUACAUAGCAA